GAGGGUAUAGCUCAGUGGUAGAGCACAUGCUUAACAUGCACAAGUUUCUGGGUUCAAUCCCUAGUAUCUCCA
rnacentral:tRNA from 1 species